UGCGAUUGGAUUGCACGUCUAAGCAGUAAGGCUGGGUAUUAGGCAAAUCCGGUACUCGUUAAGGCUGAGCUGUGAUGGGGAGAAGACAUUGUGUCUUCGAGUCGUUGAUUUCACACUGCCGAGAAAAGCCUCUAGAUAGAAAAUAGGUGCCCGUACCGCAAACCGACACAGGUAGUCAAGAUGAGAAUUCUAAGGUGAGCGAGCGAACUCUCGUUAAGGAACUCGGCAAAAUGACCCCGUAACUUCGGGAGAAGGGGUGCUCUUUAGGGUUAACGCCCAGAAGAGCCGCAGUGAAUAGGCCCAAGCGACUGUUUAUCAAAAACACAGGUCUCUGCUAAACCGUAAGGUGAUGUAUAGGGGCUGACGCCUGCCCGGUGCUGGAAGGUUAAGAGGAGUGGUUAGCUUCUGCGAAGCUACGAAUCGAAGCCCCAGUAAACGGCGGCCGUAACUAUAACGGUCCUAAGGUAGCGAAAUUCCUUGUCGGGUAAGUUCCGACCCGCACGAAAGGCGUAACGAUUUGGGCACUGUCUCAACGAGAGACUCGGUGAAAUCAUAGUACCUGUGAAGAUGCAGGUUACCCGCGACAGGACGGAAAGACCCCGUGGAGCUUUACUGUAGCCUGAUAUUGAAAUUCGGCACAGCUUGUACAGGAUAGGUAGGAGCCUUUGAAACGUGAGCGCUAGCUUACGUGGAGGCGCUGGUGGGAUACUACCCUAGCUGUGUUGGCUUUCUAACCCGCACCACUUAUCGUGGUGGGAGACAGUGUCAGGCGGGCAGUUUGACUGGGGCGGUCGCCUCCUAAAAGGUAACGGAGGCGCUCAAAGGUUCCCUCAGAAUGGUUGGAAAUCAUUCAUAGAGUGUAAAGGCAUAAGGGAGCUUGACUGCGAGACCUACAAGUCGAGCAGGGUCGAAAGACGGACUUAGUGAUCCGGUGGUUCCGCAUGGAAGGGCCAUCGCUCAACGGAUAAAAGCUACCCCGGGGAUAACAGGCUUAUCUCCCCCAAGAGUUCACAUCGACGGGGAGGUUUGGCACCUCGAUGUCGGCUCAUCGCAUCCUGGGGCUGUAGUCGGUCCCAAGGGUUGGGCUGUUCGCCCAUUAAAGCGGUACGCGAGCUGGGUUCAGAACGUCGUGAGACAGUUCGGUCCCUAUCCGUCGUGGGCGUAGGAAAUUUGAGAGGAGCUGUCCUUAGUACGAGAGGACCGGGAUGGACAUACCUCUGGUGUACCAGUUGUCGUGCCAACGGCAUAGCUGGGUAGCUAUGUGUGGACGGGAUAAGUGCUGAAAGCAUCUAAGCAUGAAGCCCCCCUCAAGAUGAGAUUUCCCAACUUCGGUUAUAAGAUCCCUCAAAGAUGAUGAGGUUAAUAGGUUCGAGGUGGAAGCAUGGUGACAUGUGGAGCUGACGAAUACUAAUCGAUCGAAGACUUAAUCAA
rnacentral:rRNA from 1 species